rnacentral:lncRNA from 1 species
UGAUUCUUCUCUAUUUGCUAUUAAAUUUGCAAAUUGGUAAGUGUUUAAGCUCUCUCAGUUAUGUUUCUUCCCUAUUUGUGUUCGUGCUUUUGAAUAUCCCUAUUAUGUGGGCUUUUCUAAGCCAAUAUGAUAUUAUGCCGACCUUUUGUUUGAUUUUACUCUUGUAAUUCUUCAUCUAGAUUUGUGUAAGUUAGCAUGAUUAGAACAUUUCCUGGGCUGUGACACUUGUGCGAAAUUGGUGUAUUUAUGAAUGCCUAAUCUCUCACAUUGACUGCUUAAUAUUGUAUCUUUAUUUCUCAAUCUGAACGCUUGUCCUGAAACUCUAAUGGAUUACUGCCUGCCCAGAAGUUAUCUUAAUAAAUUUCUGCAUGCUCUACUAUUGUCCUUGUCUAUAUGAAUCCUUGCUUUAACCAACAUGUAGAUUUAAGAAUUGUAAUGUGGUGUCUAGCUAACUCUGUCUCUUUAAAAUUGCUUAGGUCCCUAAUACAAUUAGCUUUCUGCACUAUGCAUGGUUGAUUUGUUUAAGUUCUGAAAUCUAUCUGCUAUGCUUGACCUUAAAUUGGCAAUGUUUGCUACUACGAUAUUUUGAACAAGGGAACUAUUGUGUUACACUUAGCGCAAUUGAGAUUCUUAUUAGUUGCUACAGAUUACGCAUGUCUUCUUGUUCACCAUGUGUAAUUAUCAUCCUCUGCCUAUGGCUCUAUCAAACCUUUCUUACUUAGAUUCACAGUCUUAAAAUCCUGUUUGGACUAAUUCUGAACCAUGCUAUACCCUAGACUCACUCUGGAAAUAUUAACAUGUGCAUCUUUUGUUUGCUUACCCUGUUAACUCUAAAUGACAUAUUCAUUCAACUCUCAUAAUGUUAUGUAUAAUUUUAGCAUGCUCUCACCUUCUUAGUAAUUUAACCCCAUGUUAUUAGUUUGCCAUGUCAAAACUACCAUAUUGAAAUUAAGUCUAUUGAUUCUCCUAGUUUUUGUUCCUUGCUUAAUCAAAUCUGUCACUUUUUUGCUUAUGAAAUGUCCAUUAGUUCAUGAAUCCUGCUAAAUUAUUUUAAACAAAUUUCAUAUAUUUUAUUUUAUAGCCCAAAACAGGGCUAAUUUCGGACCAAAUAUGGCCGAAAACACUUGGCCCACCCCAGCUCAUCCUUUACCAGCCCAAAACCAAAUAACCCUUUAAUAAACCCGGUCGGUACCCGCUUUAUCCGGCCCGCCCUACUCUUCCAUUCAUCCCAGCCCGUCUCCCAACUUUAAUUAAUCAGCACCAAACCCUGAUGCCAAUUCUUCUGAGAUAGCCGCUACCAAAUCCUUUCAUCCUCUCUUCUUCUCUGAGAAACCCUAGCCGCCGCUGCUUAGUUCCUUUCCGAUUCCAACCCAGAAAUGGAAUCUACCUAUGAUAUACUUACCUUAUUAAUCUCCUCUCAUCAUUGGUCGUCUGUUUAUGGUGUUACUUAGGUACUUUCCUAAGUUUGGAAAGUAUCACUUUCGAGAUCGAACUAGAAUGACUCGAAUCUUUGAUUUGGGCGUUAUUCCAUCUAUAGACACUCAACAAAGAGUGAUUUGCACUCUUAACGACUACUAUUAUUCUCUCUGUAUUCAUUAUUCUGUACUUUCUGCAUUCUUGGUUGUGGACGAUUGAAAGCCAAGAACAUCAGAAUUGUCUCUAAUUACCUCUCUAAUGCGAGCACUGGUCGGGGCUCGUUUGAAUCUCCUAUAAACUCUGAUGCACUAGGAGUGUGAAAUUCCUAUUGUUGUUCUUAUUUGCUACUGGCAUUUGGUGAUUCUUCUCUAUUUGUUAUUAAAUUUGCAAAUUGGUAAGUGUUUAAGCUCUCUCAGUUAUGUUUCUUCCCUAUUUGUGUUCGUGCUUUUGAAUAUCCCUAUUAUGUGGGCUUUUCUAAGCCAAUAUGAUAUUAUGCUGACCUUUUGUUUUAUUUUACUCUUGUAAUUCUUCAUCUGGAUUUGUGUAAGUUAGCGUGAUUAGAAGAUUUCUUGGGUUGUGACACUUGUUCGAAAUUGGUAUAUUUAUGAAUGCCUAAUCUCUCACAUUGACUGCUUAAUAUUGUAUCUUUAUGUCUCAAUUUAAACGCUUGUCCUGAAACUCUAAUGGAUUACUGCCUGCCCAGAAGUUGUCUUAAUAAAUUUCUGCAUGCUCUACUAUUGUCCUUGUCUAUAUGAAUCCUUGCUUUAACCAACAUGUGGAUUUAAUAAUUGUAAUGUGGUGUCUAGCUAACUCUAUCUCUUUAAAAUUAUUUAGGUCCCUAAUACAAUUAGCUUUCUCCACUAUGCAUGGUUGACUUGUUUAAGUUCUGAAAUCUAUCUGCUAUGCUUGACCUUAAGUUGGCAAUGUCUGCUACUAUGAUAUUUUGAACUAGGGAACUAUUGUGUUACACUCAACGCAAUUGAGAUUCUUAUUAGUUGCUACAGAUUAUGCAUGUCUACUUGUUCACCAUGUGUAACUGUCAUCCUCUGCCUAUGGCUCUAUCAAACCUUUCUCAUUUAUAUUCACAGUUUUAAAAUCCUGUUUGGACUAAUUCUGAACCAUGCUCUACCCUAGACUCACUCUGGAAAUAUUAACAUGUGCAUCUUGUGUGUGCUUACCCUGUUAACUCUAAAUGGCAUAUUCAUUCAACUCUCAUAAUGUUAUGUAUAUUUUUAGCAUGCUCUCACCUUCUUAGUGAUUUAACCCCAUGUUAUUAAUUUGCCAUGUCAAAACUACCCUGUUGAAAUUAAGUCUAUUUAUUCUCCUAGUUCUUGUUCCUUGCUUAAUCAAAUCUUUCGCUUUUUUGCUUAUGAAAUGUCCAUGUGUUCAUGAAUCCUGCUAAAUGACUCCAUGAGGUUUUUCUAAUGCACAUCUACAUAUCAUGUCUACAGGGUUUCAACUAAUCAAUCAAUCAGUCGCUUUUAUUGCUCUUAGCACGUCGCUCCUCUAGAUAUCAUGAUUAUAUGACCUUAAUCAACUAAUCAAUUACUUUGCUGCUUUGUUGUAUUGCUACACUUAGAUGACAUGAUAAUAGGGAUAAAGUGUUAUGAAAUCAAUCUCAAUUGUCAACCAUUAGAGAUCCUGCCUAUAGGAUGCUAUUAGUCAUCAUAGACAGCAUGUUUAUAAGAUCGGCGUUUUUAAUCUUGUGCUUUCGAACAGUCUUAUUGCCUCGUUGCAUGAACAAUGUAGAUGUCAUACCUAUAGGUGUGUAAUACCUUUAAUCUGCAAAUCCACUGCAUGUACACUGCUGCAAAUCAGAAUCACCUAGAAAUCAUGCCUAUACGACUUACCGACUAUAAUGCUUCUUAACUCUGAAACUGUCUACUGCCUAAUCUGUCGCAUGCAUUCGUUGUUUAUUUGUGGGAGGUUAACUUGAGCCUUUUCUUACAUUUAUGUGAAGUCCUAUAUGAUUUCAAUGUGCGCUAGUUUUAUCAUUUUUAGCAUCCUAAGUAGAGUCUAGGACCACCUAAUAGUAGGUCCAAAGUCUCUUGGACCAUAAGCAUGGGACAAGUAGUGCACGCAUAGAACACAACCUAGAAAUAAAUUAGAGCGUCUCUAAGUAAAUAACUUUAACAUAGUAAUCGGAUAGCAAAAGAUGAUAGUCUGUGCCUGCUGAAUAAUAUGAGCAGCCCCUACCUUAAGGGAGUUACGAAGUAUUAUUUAUGUUGCACAGGGUGAUCCUUUAAGCUAAAAAACUUAGGACCCUCUUUCUUUUUAUAUGUUUAGUCAUCAUAUAUAGAUUAACCAAGUUGUACCUUGUAACCUCUAUAGACUUGUAUUAAUCAUCUAUAUAGUUUAAUUGUUGCUCGAUUUCCUUUACACUUGUUCAUAAUAGAACCUUUAAAUUCCUUUUCUUCCCUUACUUAUAUGAUCACUUACGAUGAUUGUAAUCCGAUAAUCCCACAUAGUGUAAACUUUGGCGGGGACCCACAGUUGUGGACCUCGAAGAGUGCCUAACACCUUCUCUUUGAGCUAACUUGAGCCCUUACCCGGUCUUUGGUGGCAAAGACUAGUUAAACAAAGUUAUUUACAAAUAGGUGCCCUAACGCACCUCAAAAAUCGUUAGGUGGCAACUCUUAUCUUCUAACACCCUCUUAAAAAAGUUGUCACACAUCGAAACCCGCUUUCGCGAGAAAACGAGGCGUGACAAUUGUCACAGAAUAAUGUUUUUUUUGUCCAGAGAAAAUUCCACCGAGAGUUAUACCGCUCAGAAGUUUGUAUUGUCUACAUAUCAUGGCACUACCUCAAGGCUUGUUGCUAUCAGUCAUUCAUCCGAGAAGGUCUCAAAGAUCUCUUCCACCUCAACUUUCUUUUUGGCUACUUCAAGCAUGGACAAGUGAUCAGCCACUUAUUUCUUCGUUUCUUUUAGGUCAUGGAUUUCUAAGCUAUAUUCUUGUAGUAGUAACAUCCACUUAAUCAUACACAACUUAGUUCCCAAGAGCAGCAUAGUCAGUAUAAGCUAUUACCUUUGAGCCCAUUAAGUACGACUUGGAUUUUCCGAAUGUGAACACCACUACUAGCAUCUCUUUCUCCAUCAUAGUGUAGGUGAGUUGGUCACUACUCAAGGUUCUACUUUCUAGUAGAUUGGAUGCAUGACUUUAUCUUUGCUGGCCAAAAACUGCCCCCACAACAUAGUCCCUUGCAUCACACAUCAGCUCAAACGGUUUCUCCUAGUUAGGUGCAACUAUAGUGGGUGCAUUCACCAACAUCUUAUUCAACUCCUCAAAAGUUACUCUGCAGUCAUCAAAAAACACAAAGGGAUGAUAUUUUUCAAGAAAUUUACAUAUAAGGUUAUCAAUUUUGAAAAAAUCCUUCUAAUAGAAGCCGUCACGACCAAGAAAACUUCUUAUUGCCUUUACCAAAGUGGGUGGUGGCAAUUUUUCUGUCACGCCAAUCUUAGCACAAUCGACCUUAAUACCUUUAUUGGACACUGGGUGCUCCCAGAUUGUACUUUCUUGUAUCGUAAAAUGAUACUUUUCCCGAUUUAGCAUCAAAUUUAUAUCUAUGCACCUUCUUAAAACUUUUUUCAAAUUCCCAAGACAAUCAUCGAAUGAAUCCCUCACUAUUGAUAAAUCAUCCAUGAAAACCUUCAUAAUAUCCUCAACCAUGUCAAUAAAGAUGGCCAUCAUACACCUCUAGAAUGUGAAGUGUGCAUUUUAUAGGGUGAAAGGCAUUCUCCGAAAAGCAUAAAUGCCAUACAGACAGGUGAAUGACAUUUCUCUCUAUCCUCAAGGGCAUAAAGAUCUGGUUGUUCUCCGAGUACUCUCCGAAAAUCAUAAAUAGUCUUGGCGUGGGUCUAAACUUGAGGAAAGAUGUUUAUAGCUCUUAUGUUGGGUUUUAAGCAUUGGUAUAAACUAUUGUCAUUGGUGUGAUACUUGAGUAGGUUCGAAAUUAUGUUACUCGCCUAUGUGCUUAAUAUUAAGUUGCUCGAGGACGAGCAAGAGUUUAAGUGUGGAGUGGUGAUUAAUGAUAAAAGGUGCAUACAUUUUAGUAUGUUUGCAUAUUAUUUCUUAUGUGAGUUGCGGGAGAUCACACAACUUUUGAUGUAAAAUAUGCUCAUUGUAUAUUUUUUUAUGUAUAGGAACAAACUUGUGCAUAAAUGGAUCAAAUACGAGAAAAAUUAGAAAAAAAGAACUGAAGAGAAAAGUUUCAGACAAUGAAGUGAUGUUCACUUCCCCAGACCGGGACCAGAGUAGAAGAAAAUAGCAACUGGGAGCUAGCGGUUUGGGUCACGAGUCUGGAGGCGCUCCCAACAUUUCAAUCCGAAAUAGGAGAAGUCAAAUCCGCCCCAACUCAAUCCCACUUAAUAUAAAUAUGAUUGUUAGCCACUUUUUGGAGGAGACAAAACUUUGAAGACGCAAGAACACACUUGGAGCAAGGAAAAGGAUUUUACUUCACAUUUUUCCCUCUUUCUUUCUAUUUUUUUAUUGUUAUUAAUUCUAGUGUUGUAGUUUUACAUACUAUAAUGAGUAGCUAAACUCUUUAUUUAGUGUUGUAGUUGAACCUCUUGGAGGAAGAAUUUCUGAUACAUUUAACAUAAUUGAGC